rnacentral:lncRNA from 1 species
UCACCACGCUGCCAACCUUCAUGUGACCACGGCAAGGAGGUGUGUCAAGGCUCACGGGGCUCGCGGGCCGCUCCGCACCCGCUCCCCACCGCUGCUGAGAAAGGGUGUCUGGACGGGGAGCCACUGGGGAGACGAGCACUGGAGGGACAGCUCUUGCUGGCGCUCUGCUCAGCAGUGGGCGCUCCCAGCCCCAUAGUGUAUUUCCAAGAUGUUCCUAACUUGAAGGACGAACAUCAUUGCAAAACACUGAACCUCAGCGUUACAGUUCUUGUUURACUGGAGUAGGCAUGCAAGAAAGCCGGAGGGGCCCAAGAGAAGUUGUGGCUGCUUCCUUGAUGGUGUGUGAACCUUGUCAGGGGSAGGGUGAUUUUUGUGCCAAUGUCUGAGGAGGCAAGGUGUCAGCUUGUAAAAAAGAGUAAGUGCCAAAAGCCAGCUAUUGUUUUCUGGACUAGGCACGCAAGAAAAGAGGAGGGGCUGAAGACAACUUCUCUGCAAGAGCAAAUCUCAAGUGCUGGAGAGGACUAUAGAGGUGUGGUGAGGCGGGAGCAGUGUCCGGGUUUGUGAGCGGGGCCUUGUGCCUGUGCGCAGCCCUUGUGCCAUGCUUGUUGGCGUGCCAGUGGUGGGGUGGGUGCGUCUGGGGCUGGGGUGCUUGUCCCUCUUGCUGGGGAGAUGGUGCCUGUUGCUGAGGCCAUUGUCAGCGUUGCGCGGGGUGGCAGCGAGUUCCAUAUUCUGUGUUCCGUGUUCUGGUCGGCGUUGAGGGAGGCUGCCCUGGCUGCAGGCUUGGUGUCCUGCUGGGCAGCCGGCGUGCUGGCGGGGGGCCCAGCACCGUCAUCGGCCUGCGGUAGUGUGGGGGGCGCUGAGCUGUCUCUGGGCAUUGGGGCAGAGGGAGCUGUGGGSAUUUCCUCACGGCAACUUCUCUCCUCCUUUGCUUUGGUUUGUGCGGCGGCCGAGCGCGGCGCUGAGCACCUCCCAAGGACAUGCCAGGCUCAUGCGGCACAGGCGAGGGCACCGGUGUUGGCGUGUGGAGGGGUCCUGUGCUGUGUCAGAUGUAAGCAGCCGUAUGGUGGGCCCCGGAGGGUUGAGGGUGAUGGGCAGGGCUGGGAGAAACCUGAGGACCCUUUUGGGUGGUCCUGCCUGGUGCCUCGGGGSUCUCAAAGGAGUCCUGCACACUGGUGCCAGGAGGGUCCUGCGGGGCGGUCGGGGUGCGGGGGGCUUGUUUCUGGGGGAUCUGUGGCCUGGUGGCAGCCGCUGAUGGCCUCGCUCCUCCUUUUCCUUUGCCUGGUGGCCGAGUGUGGCUGCAAGCAGCUCCCGAGAACGUCCCGGGCACGUGUGGUGCCGUGCAGUGCACAGGCGAGAACGGCAGCGUUGGUGUGCGGAGGGGUGCCUUCGCCGCAGCACAGGUACGUGGCCCCGUUGCUGGACGCAGGGGGCAGGGGGUGCUGGGGAGUUUGGGGAGAGGUGGCAGGGCCCUUCUGGGUGCUCCCGCCUGGUGCCUUGGGCAUCUGCAUGGAGUGACCCAUUGUGGCGUGAAGGGAGGGAAGAAAGGCCCUUCCUUAGCUUGGUAAUUGAGGUUGGUGUGCCAGAGCCCCUUGUUCAAGGACUCUCCCUGAGUCAGUUUCACAAGCUGUAGAUUUUAUUAAAGCAACAGAUACCACAGGUUUGGAAUUGCCACUGAUAAAUGCACUUGCUGCAACAAUUUUUCUUUCUUUGAGCUCAAACUAGCAAUUAAGCACUUUCAAUAAUAAUAUAUUUCCCCACGUAAUGUCCGAUGUUGCUGGAGGUGCAAAUCUUACCAAAGUGGUGUCGCUGUUUGGGGGAGGGGAGAAGGAGGCUCGCUCGUCAGCAAUCUCCAGUGAACAGUUUGGGGGUUCAGUUUUCUUCCCUUCCAAAACUUUAGGGAGCUGUCCUCUCUUUUAUAGUCGCUGAGGGUGGGAUGUGGAAGCGCGGCAGUCAUACUUCAUUGGCUACAUUGCCAUUUGCGCAAUUGUUGUGGGGUAUGCCCCCCUUAUUUACAUAUCAUUAUGCAGCAAAGGGCAUGGUUUUUAAUACGGUAAUCGGGGAUACUGAGGCUAGAGGCACUAUAGGUCAACACUUAGUCUGUGAUCAGCAAAUUUUU